AGACAGGAGGGUGUACACCCAAAGUGAGACUGUUAGAUCAUGCCAGCUGAAGUAAGCCGGUCACAGAAGGACCAGUAUUGCCUGAUUCCACUUAUACGAGCAUGUGUUGACCACCUACUAUGUGCCAGGCACUGUGUUGGGCGCUGAGGAUUCCACUGGACAGAGCUGGUUCCUGCCUUCAAGGAACACCAUGUCCUCGCAGAUGCUAACAACACAUCACACACUCAGAGUGGUUAUUGGCUAUUUUGCGUUGCUAUUUCUUGGUGCAGUGCAGCAGGAUUUCAGAGAAACCCACUGGAGACCACCUGGAAUCCACACUGAACUGGUCCUUGGUCCAGUGUGGGCCCUUG
rnacentral:lncRNA from 1 species